UACGGGGGGGGCAAGCGUUGUUCGGAAUUACUGGGCGUAAAGGGCUCGUUGGCGGCCAACUAAGUCAGACGUGAAAUCCCUCGGCUUAACCGGGGAACUGCGUCUGAUACUGGAUGGCUUGAGUUUGGGAGAGGGAUGCGGAAUUCCAGGUGUAGCGGUGAAAUGCGUAGAUAUCUGGAGGAACACCGGUGGCGAAGGCGGCAUCCUGGACCAACACUGACGCUGAGUGAGCGAAAGCCAGGGGAGCAAACGGG
rnacentral:rRNA from 1 species